rnacentral:misc_RNA from 1 species
GAUGAAGAACGUAGCGAAAUGCGAUAAGUAAUGUGAAUUGCAGAAUUCAGUGAAUCAUCGAAUCUUUGAGCGCAUCUUGCGCUCCUUGGUAUUCCGAGGAGCAUGCCUGUUUGAGUGUCAUUUAACUUCUCAACCAGACAUCAGAUUAUCUUUUGAUGCUUGGCUUGGAUCUGGGGGUUGUUUGCAGGCCUUCUUGUUCAAGGAGGUCGGCUCCCCUGAAAUGUAUUAGUGGUAUCUGAGGCUAUUGCUAUUAGGUGUGAUAAUUAUCUAUGUCUUUUUGCAUGCCCCAUGAACAGAUUACACUGCUUCCAACAAAAAAAAAACAAUUUUGAUGAAUUUGACCUCAAAUCAGGUAGGACUACCCGCUGAACUUAAGCAUAUCAAUAAGCGGAGGA